rnacentral:rRNA from 1 species
AUUGAACGCUGGCGGCAUGCCUUACACAUGCAAGUCGAACGGUAACGGGCCUUCGGGUGCCGACGAGUGGCGAACGGGUGAGUAAUGUAUCGGAACGUACCUUUCAGUGGGGGAUAACGUAGCGAAAGUUACGCUAAUACCGCAUAUUCUGGGAGCAGGAAAGCAGGGGAUCGCAAGACCUUGCGCUGGUUGAGCGGCCGAUAUCAGAUUAGCUAGUUGGUGAGGUAAAGGCUCACCAAGGCGACGAUCUAUAGCGGGUCUGAGAGGAUGAUCCGCCACACUGGAACUGAGACACGGUCCAGACUCCUACGGGAGGCAGCAGUGGGGAAUUUUGGACAAUGGGCGCAAGCCUGAUCCAGCAAUGCCGCGUGCAGGAAGAAGGCCUUCGGGUUGUAAACUGCUUUUGUACGGAACGAAACGGUCUGGGUUAAUACCCUGGGCUAAUGACGGUACCGUAAGAAUAAGCACCGGCUAACUACGUGCCAGCAGCCGCCGUAAAAC